rnacentral:rRNA from 1 species
CGAGAAAACUUUGCAAUGUGCGAAAGCACGACAAGGUUAAUCCGAGUGAUUCCUGCUAAAGGAAUCUUUUGUUAGUCGUAAAACCACUGAUGAAUAAGGGGUGGGCAAGUUCUGGUGUCAGCCGCCGCGGUAAAACCAGCACCUCAAGCGGUCAGGAGGAUUAUUGGGACCUAAAGCAUCCGUAGCCUGCUCUGUAAGUUUCCGGUUAAAUCCAUUUGCUCAACAAAUGGGCUGACCGAAAAUACUGCAGGACUAGGGAGUGGGAGAGGUAGACGGUACUCGGUAGGAAGGGGUAAAAUCCUUUGAUCUAUUGAUGACCACCUGUGGCGAAGGCGGUC